UACGUAGGGACCAAGCGUUGUUCGGAUUUACUGGGCGUAAAGGGCGCGUAGGCGGCAUGACAAGUCACUUGUGAAAUCUCUGGGCUUAACCCAGAACGGCCAAGUGAUACUGUCGCGCUAGAGUGCGGAAGGGGCAAUCGGAAUUCUUGGUGUAGCGGUGAAAUGCGUAGAUAUCAAGAGGAACACCUGAGGUGAAGACGGGUUGCUGGGCCGACACUGACGCUGAGUGCGCGAAAGCCAGGGGAGCAAACGGGG
rnacentral:rRNA from 1 species